UACGUAGGGUGCAAGCGUUAAUCGGAAUUACUGGGCGUAAAGCGUGCGCAGGCGGUUGUGUAAGACAGAUGUGAAAUCCCCGGGCUCAACCUGGGAACUGCAUUUGUGACUGCACAGCUGGAGUGCGGCAGAGGGGGAUGGAAUUCCAGGUGUAGCGGUGAAAUGCGUAGAUAUCUGGAGGAACACCGGUGGCGAAGGCGGCAUCCUGGACCAACACUGACGCUGAGGAGCGAAAGCCAGGGGAGCAAACGGG
rnacentral:rRNA from 1 species